UACGUAGGGUGCGAGCGUUGUCCGGAAUUAUUGGGCGUAAAGAGCUCGUAGGCGGUGUGUCAAGUCAGGCGUGAAAGCCCCGGGCUCAACCUGGGAACAGCGCUUGAGACUGGCACGCUCGAGUUCGGGAGAGGAUGGUGGAAUUCCCAGUGUAGAGGUGAAAUUCGUAGAUAUUGGGAAGAACACCGAUGGCGAAGGCAGCCAUCUGGACCGACACUGACGCUGAGGCGCGAAAGCGUGGGGAGCAAACAGG
rnacentral:rRNA from 1 species